GUGUUUGUUUGGGCAGCAUAUAUACUAAAAUUGAAUAAUAAAGAAAUUAGCAUGAUCCCUGUGCAAUGAUGACACUCAAAUUCAUGAAGCAUUCCAUAUAAAG